rnacentral:SRP_RNA from 1 species
GCUGGGCACAGUGGCUCACGCCUGUAAUCCUGGCACUCUGGGAGGCCGAGGCAGGAGGAUGGCUUAAGCCCAGGAGUUCUGGGCCAUAGUGCACUAUGCCGACCGGGUGUCCGCACCAAGUUCAGCAUCAAUAUGGUGACCUCCUGGGAGUGGGGGACCAGCAGGUUGCCUAACGAGGGGUGAACCGGCCCAGGUCAGAAACAGAGCAAGUCAAAACUCCUACGCUGGGUGGACGCCUUUUUCGGCCUCCACCCAUCUGCAUCCAGAUGCU